UCCUCUCUCAAACCCCCGGGUUUGGUGUUGGACCGCGUUGGCCCGUUUUAUCGGCCAACUGGUCUCAAAGACAAUGACGGCGUCCCAGGGACCCUCUUCGCACUGAGCUUUCCGGAGCACGCGUAGAGUUUCAAGGACCCAGGGACCCGGUCGCCUCUAAAAACUUUUUUCA
rnacentral:misc_RNA from 1 species